GGGGGUAUAGCUCAGUGGUAGAGCGCUCCCUUAGCAUGGGAGAGGGCUGGGGUCAAUUCCCCAUACCUCCA
rnacentral:tRNA from 1 species